GCUGGGCGUGGUGGUGGGCGCCUGUAAUCCCAGCUACUCAGGAAGCUGAGGCAGGAGAAUUGCUUGAACUCGGGAGUUGGAGGUUGCAGUGAGCUGAGAUCACGCCACUGCACUCCAGCCUGGGCGACAGAGCAAGACUCCGUCUCAA
rnacentral:SRP_RNA from 1 species